UAUUGCCAGCUCUUUUCUAGUUCUAUUAUUUUAAUAUUUUUUACUUCUUCUAAUUGUUGUACUUCCUUUUUUGCUUGUUGUUUUAUUUUUUCAAUUUCCGUUUUUCUAUCUAUUUCUUCAUUUUCUUUUGUUAUUCUUAUCAUAACAGUUAAACUAUCUUCUAGUUUUACCGUUUCUUUUUCUAACAUUAAACUCAGAUUGUCACCUAUUUUCUUAUAUCUUCUUCCUAGAUUAGAAAAUAUUAUCUUUAUUUUUAAUCCGUCAUAGUUUUCAUAUGUUUUUUCAUCUAUUGCGUAUUCUUCUUUAUUCAUUUAUAAGUUGUGUUGUAGUUUAUAUUCUAAGCUUUAUAUUUGUAUCUGUAGAUAUAAAAUAGUUUUUCUCUAUGCUAUUAUAGAUUUUUUACAAGUUCCUGCGAAUAUAUUACUGUUAAGUCUAUUUUGCCUAUGUUCUAAUUCUUGUCUUUUCGCUAUAAUUAUUUCAGUAAGUUUUUGUCUAUAUUCAUUAUUCUCG
rnacentral:lncRNA from 1 species